UACAGAGGUCUCAAGCGUUGUUCGGAAUUACUGGGCGUAAAGGGCUCGUAGGCGGCCAACUAAGUCAUACGUGAAAUCCCUCGGCUUAACCGGGGAACUGCGUCUGAUACUGGAUGGCUUGAGUUCGGGAGAGGGAUGCGGAAUUCCAGGUGUAGCGGUGAAAUGCGUAGAUAUCUGGAGGAACACCGGUGGCGAAGGCGGCAUCCUGGACCGAUACUGACGCUGAGGAGCGAAAGCCAGGGGAGCAAAGCGGG
rnacentral:rRNA from 1 species